GACGAACGCUGGCGGCGUGCUUAACACAUGCAAGUCGAACGAAGUGGCGAACGGGUGAGUAACGCGUAAUCAACCUGCCCAUCAGAGGGGGACAACAGUUGGAAACGACUGCUAAUACCGCAUACAGAAGGAGGGGAUUGCGUCUGAUUAGCUAGUGGGUGGGGUAACGGCCCACCAAGGCGAGGAUCAGUAGCCGGUCUGCGAGGAUGAACGGCCACAUUGGGACUGAGACACGGCCCAGACUCCUACGGGGGGCAGCAAUUGGGAAUCUUCCGCAAUGGACGAAAGUCUGACGGAGCAACGCAGCGUGAGUGAUGACGGCCUUCGGGUUGUAAAGCUCUGUUAAUCGGGACGCGGUACCGGAAUAGAAAGCCACGGCUAACUACGUGCCAGCCGCCGCGGUAAUUC
rnacentral:rRNA from 1 species